AACCGCGUAGCUCAAUUGGAAGAGCAUUGGGCUAGUAUUCCAAAGGUCGUAGGUUCGAAUCCCGCCGUGGCAA
rnacentral:tRNA from 1 species